rnacentral:pre_miRNA from 15 species
AGUAAAAUGCUGACGCUGCUGCUGUUGGGAGACCCUGGUCUGCACUCUAUCUGUAUGCUUACUGAGGGGAGAGCAGAGCAGGGUUUCCCAUACAGAGGGCACAGGCUGCUGCCCUGU